AAGAACCUUCGUUAGGCCAGGCUCCUGUGUGGAGAUACGCUGCUGCCCAAAAAUGUCCAAAGACGCCAAUGGGUCAACAGAAACAAUCGAAUUAAGGUUGUUUUUAACGUAGCUGAAAUUAAUUUUCUAUGCCACACAGUGCUAAAGCUCUACGAUUGAGGGUUAUA
rnacentral:sRNA from 2 species